rnacentral:tRNA from 1 species
GGGGAUAUAGCUCAGCAGUGCAGCACCUGCCUGGCAAGCAGGAGGCCCUGAGUUCCAUUCCUGGUACCA